rnacentral:rRNA from 1 species
GAGUUUGAUUCUGGCUCAGGAUGAACGCUGGCGGCGUGCCUAACACAUGCAAGUCGAACGGAGAUUAUAAACGGAAGUUUUCGGAUGGAAGUUUAUAAUCUUAGUGGCGGACGGGUGAGUAACGCGUGGGCAACCUGCCUCAUACAGGGGGACAACAGACGGAAACGUCUGCUAAGACCGCAUACGUCUUUUUGGUCGCAUGACCGAGAAGGGAAAAGAGCAAUCUGGUAUGAGAUGGGCCCGCGUCUGAUUAGCUGGUUGGUAAGGUAACGGCUUGCCAAGGCAACGAUCAGUAGCCGGACUGAGAGGUCGGACGGCCACAUUGGGACUGAGACACGGCCCAAACUCCUACGGGAGGCAGCAGUGGGGGAUAUUGCACAAUGGAGGAAACUCUGAUGCAGCGACGCCGCGUGAGUGAAGAAGUAUUUCGGUAUGUAAAGCUCUAUCAGCAGGGAAGAUGAUGACGUACCUGACUAAGAGCCCCG